UGACCCACGAGGAGCCGCUGUAGAAUUCCGUGACGUCACACUAGUCAGGAGGUAGUCGGGAAGCGGUCAUUUUACAUAGCGUGUCAGUAUUUUUUCACCUUUGCGAUGGAGUUUGUAUGUUUAAACGAGGACGAAUACGAAGCGAGCCAACUUAAUGUUAAAAACGAGGAGUGCUGUGUCUAGCCAUAUGCGUUUGAGCCGUUAGUUAGGCGUGAAUUACGAGACAACACCGAGGAAAGUGGAGAAAGUAGGAGUAGCGAUGAUGACCACGCUAGUAGGCCGACAUCGUCGUCAUCCGACUCAGAAUCUGCCAGUGAAGAGGAUAUUGACGACCGUUCCCAUCGACUGACAAAUACUGACUGGUGCAAAUGUGGCAACUGUGUGAUUAUGCCCACAGUGGAUGAAUGCAAGUGCUGCACAGAAACGCACCUUGUUGAUCAGGAAGUCGAGUCAGCUGGGCUGCAAUGUACAACCUUACAUGAAGGCUUUCAGGGAAACUGCCUCAACCAGUAUGUCCUCAAGGCAUCUUUUGUUGAAUUUUUGGAGGGACAUGGUCCUCUUGGAAAUGAUGAACCAGUAAACGAGAUUUACAGGUACAUUGCAUAUAGAAGAAUGAUCAGAUGUAUUUGGGGACGCAUUGGAAAAGGAAAUAGGAAAGUUCUUCCAUCCUGUGCAGU